CUUCCAGAAUGGACCAGGCUGUGAGGCUCACUCCUGGCCUCAAACUUAGAGGCUUGUGAAGAAUAUUAUCAUACAUUUCAGCAACAUCUCGGCAGUAAAAAGGAGGCUGAAAAACAAGCAGAAUAAACUUACAGGUAAUGUAUGACUCAUCUAUAAGGGAUUUGAGACCACCUGAAAGCUGAGGAAGAAUGUGUGCAUGUGUGGUGGAACUCAGGGCCUUGCACAUGUUUGAUGGAGUUGUCUGUUGUUAGCUGGUAUCUACACCUUCAGGAUGGUGAAGAGUGUCACUGUGCCAGGGCCACAGUUUCACUGAAGGACCCCAAAAUAUAAAGCCUUCUGUGAGGGGAUACAGCAUCAACUGGAAAGUGAAGUCAAGUCAUUGGUAUCAGUCACCUGGACAAGAGACAUAUAUCACUCAGAGGGAAAGAAAAGCACUUGGGUACAACAUCACUUACAGGCAUCUGGACUUGCUGAAGCUGAACAGAGAGUCUGUGUCGGAUGAGGAGGGGUCUAUCUGAGCUCAUUAGAAUCAAGUUUCUUGAGGACUGAGGACAGCACUAUUGUGACCCAGGAACUAAUACAUGAACUUAGUACUAUUUUCACCCAACAAAUACUUACUAAACAUCUACUAUCUCUGUUAUAGGGGAUGGUAAAACAAUAGUAAGGGAAGUUCUUGCUUCAAAGUACCUUGAUUCUGGCAGGCAAAGAACAUGUAAAUAAAUGCCAAAAGUCAGGUGAUGA